rnacentral:rRNA from 1 species
GCAUAUCAAUAAGCGGAGGAAAAGAAACUAACAAGGAUUCCCCUAGUAACGGCGAGCGAAGCGGGAAGAGCACAAAUUUAAAAUCUACCUGGUUUUCAGGUCGAGUUGUAAUUUGAAGAAACGUUUUUGACGUUCCGAGUUGGGAUAAAUCCUUUGGGAUGAGGUAUCAUGGAGGGUGAGAAUCCCGUGUAUACCAACCGCAGGGAUGUUAAUUAAUACGUUUUCUAAGAGUCGAGUCGUUUGGGAAUGCAGCUCUAAAUGGGUGGUAAAUUUCACCUAAUGCUAAAUAUAAGCGAGAGACCGAUAGCGAACAAGUACCGUGAGGGAAAGAUGAAAAGAACUUUGAAAAGAGAGUUAAAUAGUACGUGAAAUUGUUGAAAGGGAAACGAUUGAAGUCAGUCAUGCCGGCGGGAAUCAACUUAGGGGAAACUCUAAGUGCACUUCACGUUUGGCAGGUCUGCGUCGAUUUUGGAUAUCAUAAAAUGAUUGGGGGAAGGUAGCUCCUUCGGGAGUGUUAUAGCCCUUGAUAGAUGUGAUGUCUGGGAUCGAGGAUUGCAACGGAUACCCUUUGGGCUAGCCGCCUGAUCUCUAACUGGUGUUAGGUUACGGACAGCAUGCUGACCGUGAUUUAAUUACUGGUUAAAAGGUUAGAGCGAGUGUAMAUUCGUUAAAGGAUGUUGACGUAAUGG